GUGUGCGCUCCUGCGGCUCCGGCCCAGGCGGGAACGGGGGACUGGCCCGGGGCUCCGAGAAGCGCCCCCGAGGGGUGGGCGCCGCAGGACAGCCCCGGCCCGCCCCGCCCUGGUCCCGCCCGCCCCCCGCAGCCCCGGGCGGGCCGACGGGGGAAGCCAGGACCUGCCGGGACGGGUCCUGCCGGAGAGACGCGGGCGGCCGGGCGGCCGGGGAGCCGCCGGCCCCCUCGGGACAGCGCACGCCCGAGUCCGCCGCGGCCCCUCGGGAACCGGAAGCGCGAGGCGCGGAGCAACCGGCCCGGGAGACGCGCGAACUAAGAGUGCCGCGCGCCCGGUGCGCCCUUCACCCACACCUGUCGGACCCUCAGACGACAUCUGACAGAUGGAGAGGACUGGGGCUGCGCUCCUCCCGGGCGCCCAGCCGGUGUCGGGCACAUCCCUGCCCGUCAUUGGUCCUUUGCUCCUCACACACUCUCAGGGCAGUGUCCUGCACCUCCUCGGUGAAAAUCACACCGGAAAGUCAGAGGAAGCUUGGAAACAAAGACACACCCAUAGCCUCAGCGCACAAGGAAGCUUCGGCACAGAAUGUAGAUUCCAUCAAAGAAGUCAUUCCUCUCCACUGGUCCCUUCAUGUCUCCAGCACCAAGCACAUAGGAAGUGCUUAGUCGUGGAACUGAUGAAUUUCUGCAAGAUUCAAAGCAAACAUAGUCAGCUUGAGAGAAAUUAAACAGGGCUGAGGAAUCUGUGCCAAACGCGUUAAGGAGUUGGUCACUGGAAAAAUUACGAGACCAGUUUUCCCGAGAGAGAACAUCGCUGGCUGGCUUCCCGGGAGCGGCUGUGUGCAGGUGCCUCCUGGCCAGCUCAUUCCCCUCCCUCCAGCUCCCGCCCGGGCCUGGUUAGCCCCACUCACCCUUCAGAUAUCAGCUCCUCCUUAACUUCCUCGAGGACGUAGGCCCAUCUCAACCUCGCCUCCCACCUGCAGGCUAGCUCGGGGCUCACGUGCCUGUCCUUCCUGGCACAGGGCCUGGAGUAGAGGAGGGGCUCUGUUGAUCUGCGCUGAGUGAGUGAGUGAGUGAGUGAGCGAGUGGGGACGCUGGCAGCCCAAGUACCUGAAGGUGCACCUGCGCAGCUACACGCAGCACUUACCCCAGGCCCUAUCAGGGGAGGAAAAUUCUCCUGGGGUAGCGGGCAGGAUCUGUUACAGGAGUUCCUGGCCAAGGAGACGAGAAGGAGGCCAGGUGGUGCUCUUCAAAACAGAGAUGGCAAAGAAAGAGAAACAUCUGUAUUCUUAUUUGUUGAUUGCCUGUCUCUCCGACUAUCUGACAAGUUCUGUAAGAACAUGCUUGGAUUUUUUUUCUUCACUGCUGUAUCCCCAGAACCUAGGAUACUUCAGAAAUAUCUGCUGAGUGAACCAAGACAGUCCCAUAAGUCUGCCGCAUGUCUAAUCCCUUCUUGGCAUCUGCUUCUCUGAAGAUGUAGGGGACAUUCUCCAUGGAGAGUGACUCUAUGACACAAGACCAACCACUACGAGACAGGAGCUUUCCGAGAGAGCGAGAGAGAGCUCCCGAAAGUGGAAACCUUCUUCAUCUUCACGAAGGCCCAAGGGAGACUGAUCCGCAGAGUGGACACACCCGAGAACUAACUCGAGGGGCAGAUGGAAAGUGCAAAAGUCCACAGCCAAGCUCAGUGUCCACUGGGCAGGAAUCGGGUCCACGUUCAGAAAGAGAGGCAGAUGGAAACUGCUCUCCAACCCCCUCCAGGCCCGGGCCCUCCUGGGGAAGGGGGGGGCCGCGUUGAUGGGGUGACGAGGGUUAAUGAGUCACUCCUGCCCGGCUAAAGUCCUCCAGGGUCAGCAUGUGCAUUUCAGGCCAACCUCACCGCCCAUCCCCCUCCCCGGGUGCCCGUCCUGUGCGUCAGGGUCGCUGGCCGUCACCCAUUCAGAGCAAAGCACAAGGAACCAAGGGUGGGGCUGGGAAGUGACCGCCGAGGGGCUGCCGUGAAGGCCAGAGUUGGGAGGGAUGUCUCCUCACUUCAAACCAGUAAGGGAAAUACCGGCUCAAGUGAAAAACAGAUGUGCACAGAAUGUGGAAACGGCCUGUCCACGCCACGUCUAACCUCACCACUGAUCAAAGAAAUGCAAAUUAAAACAACAGACUCUUUCAUCCAAUUGACGAGGAUCUUUUAAAGUUAUAACACCAUUGGAAAGAGGUGAAACUGGUACAUUCCCAGAAAGCAGGCUUGUAAACCAUACAUCAAUAUCACGUACAUCACUCCUGAGUCAGUGAAGUCUCCUUUUAGAACCUAAUCACAAAGAGAUGACCAGAUUCGCAGUCAGAUGUAUGUACAGACCUCUCCCCUACAUUACUUACAGUUGAGAAAAACUGGAAACCAACUAAAGUGCAACGAAAGGAGAACUGAUGAUGAACCAUGCCCCGUCCGUGUAGCGCAAUACCGUUUAUCUACUUCAGUAAGGUUUUAAAAGACUAUUUGAUGAAAGUUACGGUGAAAAAAGCACGAUGCAAAACUCUAUAAAGGAAUUACCCUAGAUAUGGUCAUACCCACCGUUCUAUGAAUCUGACUGCUCUAGGGACCUCAUAUGAGUGGAUGGCUGGGAAUAGGGGCCCUGGGGGCUGGGAGGGGUUCCCUCCUCACAGUUGAAUGUUUCCCUAGCUGGUCCAUCUAGGAGGGCACCCAGGGUGCACCACCACCCAGGGCUGCCAUCUGGGUUAAGGCAGGUUAUGCUGGGAUUUUUUUUUUUUAUUAAUUAUUUUAUUGGCUGUAUUGGGUCUUUGUUGCUGCACACGGGCCUUUCUCUAGUUGCAGCGAGUGGGGGCUACUCUUCCUUGGGGUGCGUGGGCUUCUCAUUGCCGUGGCCUCUCGUUGCAGAGCAUGGGCUCCAGGCGCGUGAUCUUCAGUAGUUGCGGCAGAUGGGCUCAAUAGUUGUGGCUCACGGGCUCUAGAGCACAGGCUCAAUAGUUGUGGUGCGUGGGCUUAGUUGCUCCGUGGCAUGUAAUAUCUUCCUGGGACAGGGCUCAAACCCGUGUCCCCUGCAUUGGCAGGUGGAUUCUUACCCACUGUGCCACCUAGGAAGUCCUAUGCUGGGAUAUUCUGAAGACAAAGGCAAAAAACAUAGCAGGGGUGGAGCUCAGCCUGGGGUGGCAUGGUGGGGAGGAAGACACGUGACCUCAUCAGCCCCGACCCAGGGAGUUCAGGAAGGGGAAGGGGCACAUCAGGCCUGGAGCAGGGACUUUCCCUCCAGGGACACUGGCCAGAUGUCUUUGCCACCAUUUCCACCUGCCAGUUGGAACCCGGAGUGGGUCAUGGAUCUAUUCAGGAAAGUGCCGUCAGCAUAGUUAAGUCAAAAAUCAGAAAAGAGGAUAAAAUCAAGAAGGAAAGGAAAGGAAAUAUGGUGCUUGUUGCAGACGGCAAUAAGCACUGUGCAUGAACCUUUCCUCUUGGGCUUGCCCUGAGCAACAGGUUUCUUUGGUUCACAGCCAGGAAAUCUGGGAAGGCGCUGCAUUGGCAGACAAGGACCCCCACUUCCUUCUCCAUCUGCACACUGCACCCCAGAAGGGCAGCUCCCAGAGCUGUCCCAUCCGCAUCCUUGGGACUCCCAUCUCCUGGGGCUCCCAUCCCCUUUGACCCCCAUCCCCUGGGACCCCAUCUCCUGGCACGCUUGCAAAUGCAACCCCCUCUGACUUCUCACCUCCAUCAAUGAAACAUCAUCCUCUCUGUUUUUGUUUCCUUUUUACUGAUAAGGACGCUGAAGUCCAGGGAUGGAGAGUAGCCUAUACUGCUCACAGAGCCGACCCCAAAGCCCUCUGCACUCCCCAUCCACAGGCACUGUCCCAGGGAUACCUCUGUGGGACAGAGUCUGAAGGAGCGGGAGGGGGAGGGGCUCUGGGCCAGGAGAAUUGGGGCGAAAGGCCAGAAAGGAAAGGCAUCAGGGAGACGGUGCAUUGCAGCAACCAAGGGCAGGCU